rnacentral:rRNA from 1 species
GCUCCAAUAGCGUAUACUAAAGUUGUUGCAGUUAAAAAGCUCGUAGUUGGAUUUCUGGUCGUGGACAUCGGUCCGACCUCGCGGAUUGUGUACCAGGUGUCUGCAGCCAUCCUCGGAGAGAGCAUAUCUGACAUUAAGUUGCCGGAUAUGGGAUCUUCGUCAUUUACUGUGAGCAAAAUAGAGUGUUCAAAGCAGGCUUA